GCAAAUGAAACUAGGUAAUACAAAACGAUUAUGCGGUCAUCAAGGUGAAUUGGUUUAGUCUUGACUUCUGGUCGUGAGUGACAGUUGGGGGGAUGGGAAAUCUGUUGAUUGUUGAGUGCCAAAUAAACAGAGAUGGAGAAGAAAAGUUCAAAGCCAUCAGGUGCCCAAUUUCGAAAAAAAUGAAAAGAAGAAAAGGAGAAACGAGCAAAAGAUAAAGGGGCACUUCUAAAAUAUUUUGGAGCAUCCUCUGCCACUGGUCAGGAUGAGCCAACCACCUCCCCCGCUACACAGGCCUCUUCUGGAAUGGUCUCAACCCUUCAGGAUGAGCCAACCACCUCCCCCGCUACACAGGCCUCUUCUGGAAUGGUCUCAACCCUUCAGGAUGAGCCAACCACCUCCUCCGCUACACAUAUGUCUCCACAAAUAUCUGAUAUUGAGGAUGAAGACCUCUUUGCCUCUACUUCUCCCCAGCAUGAGCUUUCAGAAAUGCCUGGAGCUGAACCCCCACUGAGCCCCACUGGUGAGGAUGAGCCUCUGUCAACCGACCCUGCUAACUGGCCCUCACAUCUGACUGACAGGAUUCGGACUGAGCUGGUUCGCAGAGGACCAAGUAAGGUGCCACCUGGCUUUGUUUUCCGUAGGAAUGAGAGUGAUGGGAGAAGUUGC